rnacentral:lncRNA from 1 species
UCCUGUUGCUGUUAUGGCGCCUUCCUAAUCAACUUUUUCGUAUCUCCAUUUUCAACUCUCAGGCAUUCCUAGCCCUGUUGUACAUCACAUUGAGCAAUAUAUAUGCACAGGGGUAAAUAUAUACACCGGUUAUUAAAAUAUUUAUCACCAUGUGGCAGAUCAAACAUCGAUAACUUGAUCGAGAGGCCCGGACUCCAGCCCACCAGACCAACUGCUAGGUGUUCUGUGACCAGACAUCUGAAGGUUGACAGAGCCCCAGCCAUGCAGAGGUGGUGAAAGCAGGGUACAGCUCUCAAAUUUUGCUUCACAAGAAAAUAUGUGUAUCCAUUCCUUCUAUCCAUUCCUUCCUUCUAUGGAGCAUCGUAGAUCUCGCAUGCUUCGGACAGUUGCACAAGGCCAUCACACUUUCACAAAUGUCGCACAUUUCUUAACUGUUAUGCAGCUCUUAGAUUGGUUGUGUGCUUGAGAUUGUGACAGUGAUGUGAUCAUGUUUACUGGCUGCUGUGUUUGAUGCCUCUGGUGUUAAGCUGAGAAAAAUGUCUUGAGCACAGUACCGCGGCACUUUGUAAGGGUGAAUUGCUAUUGGCACUGCAGCUUGCUUAUUGCACUGCAAUAUAAUGUAUAUUAAUGGGUCAUUUACAGUUUGCAUAUGUUAAUGUGUAACUCACAGCAGGAAGAUUGUGUUAGCUUUUUCUUGCUGCAUCUAGCUUUUGUUUGUUUUUUGUUCUUAUGUCGUGCUUUCAAAUUGACGUGAUCUGAAAAGAAACACCAGCCUACCUACUUGAAUCUAUUUUUCUUUUCUCUGUUGCUCUAACCAAGGAAUGUAAUUGCUCCUAUAUGCAGUUAUAUUCUCUACCACCAUGAAACAUUGGAGCAUUUUCACAUCGAUGACUUUUUUUUUUUGUGAGAUCUUUUUUGUAUGUUAGAAUAAUUUGGUUUUGUUCUUACAUUCAAUAUCAGUUGGUGCUUUUGGUAUGCUUAUCACAAGAAUAUUUUUAUACCUAAUUUGCAUGGGAUUGUAUGUUUUCCAAUGCAAGAGAUUGAAUGAGCUUUAAUUAUUUAAAGGGGCCCUGCAACACUCUUCGAGCAUGGUCAGAAAAUGCUGCCGAUGGGUGGUAGAGGCCCCAAGAGGCAAUUAUUUUCGUAAGGCAAUGAGCUCUUUUAGUAAAUUAUCGAUAAUAUAAUCCAUUCAUUAUCGAUGCGCCAUACCUCGAUCUAUAUACGAGUUUCUCCAUUGCUGUGCCACUACAAAACUGGCAUUCAUCUAACGUCGAUGUGCACUUAAACUUAUGGCAAUGCAACGAAAAAUGCUCACCUUUUGAUCUCUUUUUUUAAAUCACAGAGAGAGUAUGUGCACGCCGAAGUUCAGUGAAUUCCGCAGUUGUGCCGGGACCAAAAUGAUGAAACACAUUUAAUGAUUGAGGCAUAACAUAUUGACAAUGGCAGUAGUGCAUGUGUGAGUAAACCAUGAAUUGACUUGUACAGUAAACCCAGAUUAUAUGGAACCUAAGAAGGACUCGUAAAAUAUGUUCCACUUAACAGGAGCACCGUUCCCUAUACUUAGAGAUGAGCAGGGUUGUAAAAAACAAGGACGAAACCAAUCACAUUGGGGCAGUCAUUUCAUUCAGCAGUUCCGUUUACCAGAUUUACCAGAUUACCAGCAGCAGUUCCGUUUACCAGAUUUGCAUUUACUGAGAGUCUAGUAUAUUAUUCAGAAACCAAAUGCCUUAACAGUUAUAUGUAACAUAACAACUCCCCCUCAACAUGUGCCAGAAUAAUAGGUUCGUCUAUUGCCUGGGCAUGUGCAGAUAAGUCUCCAUGCGUCCUUCUUUUUCCGUCAAUGCGCAACCUUGUAGUUGCUAGUUGUUAUUCGUGGUGUCUUGAUUUUAUUCUUACAUACGUGCUUGUAUGCCCUGUCUUCAAGAAUAAAUAUUUGCCCACUAGCUCA